GCCAUGCGAGUUAACGUAGCAAUACGUGGCAUACGGCUCAGUAACACGUAGUCAACAUGCCCAGGGGACGUGGAUAACCUCGGGAAACUGAGGAUAAACCGCGAUAGGCCAAGAUUUCUGGAAUGAAUCAUGGUUUAAAUCUAUAUGGCCCCUGGAUUGGACUGCGGCCGAUCAGGCUGUUGGUGAGGUAAUGGCCCACCAAACCUGUAACCGGUACGGGCUCUGAGAGGAGGAGCCCGGAGAUGGGCACUUAGACAAGGGCCCAGGCCCUAUGGGGCGCAGCAGGCGCGAAACCUCUGCAAUAAGCGAAAGCUUGACAGGGUUACUCUGAGUGAUUUCCGCUAAGGAAGUCUUUUGGCACCUCUAAAAAUGGUGCAGAAUAAGGGGUGGGCAAGUCUGGUGUCAGCCGCCGCGGUAAUACCAGCACCCCGAGUGGUCGGGACGAUUAUUGGGCCUAAAGCAUCCGUAGCCGGUCCUGCAAGUCCUCCGUUAAAUCCACCCGCUCAACGGUUGGGCCGCGGGGGAUACUACAGGGCUAGGAGGCGGGAGAGGCAAGCGGUACUCGAUGGGUAGGGGUAAAAUCCACUGAUCCAUUGAAGACCACCAGUGGCGAAGGCGGCUUGCCAGAACGCGCUCGACGGUGAGGGAUGAAAGCUGGGGGAGCAAACCGGAUUAGAUACCCGGGUAGUCCCAGCUGUAAACGAUGCAGACUCGGUGAUGAGUUGGCUUAUUGCUAACUCAGUGCCGCAGGGAAGCCGUUAAGUUUGCCGCCUGGGGAGUACGGUCGCAAGACUGAAACUUAA
rnacentral:rRNA from 1 species